UACGUAGGGGGCAAGCGUUGUUCGGAAUUACUGGGCGUAAAGGGCGCGUAGGCGGCACGGCAAGUCAGGAGUGAAAGCUCUGGGCUCAACCCGGGAACUGCUUUUGAAACUGCCGAGCUAGAGUGCGGAAGGGGCAACUGGAAUUCCCAGUGUAGCGGUGAAAUGCGUAGAUAUUGGGAAGAACACCUGAGGCGAAGGCGGGUUGCUGGGCCGACACUGACGCUGAGGCGCGAAAGCCAGGGGAGCGAACGGG
rnacentral:rRNA from 1 species